UUGCUUUGGCAGCACAUGCACUAAAAUUGGAACAAUACAGUGAAGAUUAGCAUGGCCACCACACGAGGAUGGCAUGUAAAUCCUUGAAGCCUUUUUUAUGUAA
ensembl:snRNA U6 U6 spliceosomal RNA